rnacentral:rRNA from 1 species
CUGUCCUACGGGGGGCAGCAGUGGGGAAUAUUGCACAAUGGGGGAAACCCUGAUGCAGCGACGCCGCGUGAAGGAAGAAGUAUUUCGGUAUGUAAAGUUCUGUUGAAGGGGGAAAAGAGCGGAGAGAGGAAAUGGUCUCCGAUUGAUAUUACCCUUCGAGGAAGUCACGGCUAACUACGUGCCAGCAGCCGCGGUAAUACGUAGGUGGCGAGCGUUAUCCGGAAUGAUUGGGCGUAAAGGGUGCGUAGGCGGCCUGCUAAGUCUGGAGUGAAAGGUACCGGCUCAACCGGUACAGGCUCUGGAAA